rnacentral:lncRNA from 1 species
UGGUGAGCAGGCACGGUGGUAGGGGUGCUGGUGAUCUUAUACGCGACCACGCUGGUUUCACGUUGUAGCCGAUUGAUGUACAUUCACUACAUUGUUCUCUUGAUCUCAACGCGAACAAGUUCUAGUUUGAAGCUGCCUGUAACACUUCCAUAAGCUGUGAAUUGUACAGCUAUUCAUUUCGUAUUCGAAGAUGAUCAUUCCAAUUCGGUGCUUCACUUGUGGAAAGGUUAUAGGCAACAAGUGGGAAAGCUACUUGGGCCUCCUGCAAGCAGAGUAUACUGAAGGUGAUGCGUUGGAUGCGCUGGGGCUACGCCGCUACUGCUGCCGCCGCAUGCUGCUCACCCACGUCGACCUCAUCGAGAAGCUCCUCAACUAUGCUCCUCUAGAGAAAUAAAUCUCG